UUGACGAUAUCGAGGCUGGCUUUUUUGCCGGUGGGGAUGACCUGUUUAUACAGGCGGCAGUACCGCGUACUCAACCGAUACCCCGCAAUACCUCAACCUGCGUUCACUCUGGCGCACAGAUAUCGAUCA
rnacentral:sRNA from 1 species